CCGAGGCACCUUUCAAGAAUUCUGCCGGAGGUUUAUGAAUGAUAAGCUGGGCUACGGCUCCUGGUUUGAGCACGUGCAGGAGUUCUGGGAGCACCGCAUGGACUCGAACAUGCUUUUUCUCAAGUAUGAAGACAUGCAUCGGGACCUGGUGACGAUGGUGGAGCAGCUGGCCAGAUUCCUGGGGGUGUCCUGUGACAAGGCCCAGCUGGAAGCCCUGACGGAGCACUGCCACCAGCUGGUGGACCAGUGCUGCAACGCUGAGGCCCUGCCCGUGGGCCGGGGUACGUGCCCCACCCUGCCUCCCGCCCAGGCACUCCCCACCCCAGCCAGGCUGCUUUCUCUGCCUGCUUAGGGAGCCGAGUCCGGUCCCUGUUGCCCUCUCUGCUCCUUUUACAGCAGUCUGUAGCUGGCCCAUGGCCUGUGCUCUGUCAGCUGGUGCCCGUGGAUGGCACAGUGCUCAUGGAGUGACGGAGUACCCUGCCCGCUGGUGUUUGCAUUGCCUCCAAGCAAACAGUGUUUUGACUUGAAAAAGU
rnacentral:sRNA from 1 species